GUGGGUGUGCCGGAGUGGUCAAACGGGCGGGUCUCAAGAACCCGUAGCUUAGUGCUUUCCUAGGUUCGAAUCCUAGCACCCACA
rnacentral:tRNA from 1 species